UACGAAGGGGGCUAGCGUUGUUCGGAUUUACUGGGCGUAAAGCGCACGUAGGCGGAUUGGUCAGUUAGGGGUGAAAUCCUGGAGCUCAACUCCAGAACUGCCUUUAAUACUGCCAGUCUCGAGUCCGGAAGAGGUAAGUGGAACUCCUAGUGUAGAGGUGGAAUUCGUAGAUAUUCGCAAGAACACCAGUGGCGAAGGCGGCUCACUGGCCCGGUACUGACGCUGAGGUGCGAAAGCGUGGGGAGCAAACAGGG
rnacentral:rRNA from 1 species